rnacentral:rRNA from 1 species
AGCAGCCGCGGUAAUUCCAGCUCCAAUAGCGUGUAUUAAAGUUGUUGCAGUUAAAAAGCUCGUAGUUGAAUUUCGGGGUCAGUAGGUUGGUCGUGCCACUGGUACGUACUGGUCUCACUGAUUCCUCCUUCCUGAUGAACCGUAAUGCCAUUAAUUUGGUGUUGCGGGGAAACUGGACUGUUACUUUGAAAAAUUAGAGUGUUUAAAGCAGGCUAACGCUUGAAUACAUUAGCAUGGAAUAAUGAAAUAGGACGUUCGAUCCUAUUUUGUUGGUUUCUAGGAUUGACGUAAUGAUUAAUAGGGAUAGUUGGGGCAUUAGUAUUCAAUUGUCAGAGGUGAAAUUCUUGGAUUUAUUGAAGACUAACUACUGCGAAAGCAUUUUGCCAAGGAUGUUUUCAUUAAUCAAGAACGAAAGUUAGGGGAUCGAAGACGAUCAGAUACCGUCGUAGUCUUAACCAUAAACUAUGCCGAACUAGGGAUCGGAUGAUGUUAAUUUUUAAUGACUCAUUCGGCGCC